UACGUAGGCAGCAAGCGUUGUUCGGAAUUACUGGGCGUAAAGAGUGUGUAGGCGGUGCUCUAAGUUCGGUGUGAAAUCUCCCGGCUCAACUGGGAGGGUGCGCCGGAAACUGGGGUGCUGGAGCGCGGGAGAGGAAAGCGGAAUUCCUGGUGUAGCGGUGAAAUGCGUAGAUAUCUGGAGGAACACCGGUGGCGAAGGCGGCAUCCUGGACCGGCAUUGACGCUGAGGCGCGAAAGCUAGGGGAGCAAACGGG
rnacentral:rRNA from 1 species